CCAACCGUCGGGACAGCUUGGUUUUUCAUUCCACACUGUCCCUCGUGUAGGGAAAAUCCGACUUACACAGGUAGGCCUGUAAGAUCCUUAUAGUCAAGUUACAGACGAACAGAGUCACCUUGGCAAAUCAAAGAUGCCAGAGUUGUAUCUUUAGCUCAAACAGGCACCUGUAGAGUUAGGUCGGCCAGCCAAGCAGAAGGCCGUUACGUCAGCUAGUCAACGGAAGUGAAUCAAAACAACCAGUCGGAGACAUCGGUCAGCAGACGGAGGUGUGUGGUUACAGACUUUUGUUUGAGAUUUUGAAAGUUGGGUAGGCGACUCCAGGCCGAGAAGCUCUGAAAACGGUUUACUGCCUCCUUAAGGGCAAAUCUUGAAAAUUGUGUGUGGUUGCAGACUUUUGUGUGAGGUUUUGAAAGUUGGGUAGGCGACUCCAGGCCGAGAAGCUCAGCAAACUGUUUACUGCCUUCAUAUUCUUAGACAGUUUGAUUUUUUUGUGCUCAAAUAAACAUUUAUCAGGAAAUUCUCCAACAUAUCAACAGUUUGCUUUUUUUUAUUUCAAACAUAUAACUACAUAUUUUAGAUGCAGGCAGUGUGGCUAUAUUUUUAACUUGGAGCUGACUUUAUCGAUCAUUUGUGAUCCUUAAUACCUGUAAAAGUCUGCUUCUACAAGACUACAAGCAACCCUGUCACUAAUAAUUUCUGCGCAUUGAAAAGAGUCGACGUUACAUACUAGUAUUUCACAUGUGUAUUCAAAUCUUUGAAAGGCCAGUAACAACGUUGUAAAUAAUAAAUAUUGAAAUAUGACAAUGUAUAUGUAGAAUAAUGAUGAAAUCUAAAAAAAAAAACAAGUAAAAAUUUGUUUGUCAGACACAGUCAGUGUGUACAUAUAAGUUGGAUAUAAUUAUGUAUGUUUUAAGCAGUCAUUGAAAAUCUUAGAAAAACUGAAAAUACUGUCAUAAGUAAUUACAAUGCCUCUAUCAAACUUUUAUCGGUCAAAUGAAAUUGUGUUUGAAUUUAGACAUGCAAACUUAUCUUUUGUUAUUAUCUUAAUUUAAUGUUUUUGUUUAGGAACUCAGAUUAAUAAUCGUUUCUUAAUGCUGUAAUUAAUCUUUAAUUUGUCAGUUUGUUACAAGACUAUUUUUAUCCCAUCUGUGAAGAUCCUGUUAUUAAUUUCACCUGUUUCUCUUUGUACAGUAUCGUAAGUAUACAUGUACUAUCUUAAAUUUAAUUUCAAUUUUGACUGUAAUUAAAAACAUCUAUUAGAGAAUAGAUGUUUUGGUUCCUUUAAGCAUUUUGUUACAUUAAAUACUAAUAAAAAUAGUUUCUAACAAAAACAGUGGUAGUCCGAGCAAUUGAAAUUUUAUACUGAUUUAUUUUGUGUUUUAUUAAAAAAAUGUAUUCUAAAGUUUCUCUGAAUAAAUAUACAUGCUAAAAAUUA